rnacentral:rRNA from 1 species
AGAGUUUGAUCAUGGCUCAGAACGAACGCUGGCGGCAUGCCUAACACAUGCAAGUCGAACGCCAUCCUCUGGAUGGAGUGGCGCACGGGUGAGUAACGCGUGGGAACCUGCCUUUUUCUGCGGGACAACGGUUGGAAACGACCGCUAAUACCGCAUACGCCCUACGGGGGAAAGGUCCGCCGGAGAGAGAGGGGCCCGCGUUUGAUUAGCUUGUUGGUGGGGUAACGGCUCACCAAGGCGACGAUCAAUAGCUGGUCUGAGAGGAUGAUCAGCCACACUGGGACUGAGACACGGCCCAGACUCCUACGGGAGGCAGCAGUGGGGAAUAUUGGACAAUGGGGGCAACCCUGAUCCAGCAAUGCCGCGUGUGUGAUGAAGGCCUUAGGGUUGUAAAGCACUUUCACUGGCGAAGAUGAUGACGGUAACCAGAGAAGAAGCCCCGGCUAACUUCGUGCCAGCAGCCGCGGUAAUACGAAGGGGGCGAGCGUUGUUCGGAAUUACUGGGCGUAAAGGGCGUGUAGGCGGCUCCUUAAGUUAGGCGUGAAAGCCCCGGGCUCAACCCGGAACU